rnacentral:rRNA from 1 species
UGGCGGACGGGUGAGUAAUGUCUGGGAAACUGCCUGAUGGAGGGGGAUAACUACUGGAAACGGUAGCUAAUACCGCAUAAUGUCGCAAGACCAAAGAGGGGGACCUUCGGGCCUCUUGCCAUCGGAUGUGCCCAGAUGGGAUUAGCUUGUUGGUGGGGUAACGGCUCACCAAGGCGACGAUCCCUAGCUGGUCUGAGAGGAUGACCAGCCACACUGGAACUGAGACACGGUCCAGACUCCUACGGGAGGCAGCAUG